ACUGCUCAGUAACACGUGGACAACCUGCCCUUAGGUUGGGUAUAAACCCGGGAAACUGGGUAUAAUACCCGAUAGGUCUCGAUUGCUGGAAUGCAUCGAGAUUUAAAGCUCCGGCGCCUAAGGAUGGGUCUGCGGCCUAUCAGGUAGUAGUGGGUGUAGCGUACCUACUAGCCUACGACGGGUACGGGUUGUGAGAGCGAGAGCCCGGAGAUGGAUUCUGAGACACGAAUCCAGGCCCUACGGGGUGCAGCAGGCGCGAAAACUUUACAAUGCUGGCAACAGCGAUAAGGGAACCUCGAGUGCCAGGUUACAAAUCUGGCUGUCGAGAUGCCUAAAAAGCAUUUCAUAGCAAGGGCCGGGCAAGACCGGUGCCAGCCGCCGUGGUAACACCGGCGGCUCGAGUGGUAACCGUUAUUAUUGGGUCUAAAGGGUCUGUAGCCGGCCGGAUAAGUCUCUUGAGAAAUCUGGCAGCUUAACUGUCAGGCUUUCAGGAGAUACUGUCUGGCUCGAGGCCGGGAGAGGUGAGAGGUACUUCAGGGGUAGGGGUGAAAUCUUGUAAUCCUUGAAGGACCACCAGUGGCGAAGGCGUCUCACCAGAACGGACCUGACGGCAAGGGACGAAAGCUAGGGGCACGAACCGGAUUAGAUACCCGGGUAGUCCUAGCCGUAAACGAUACUCGCUAGGUGUCGGCCACGGUGCGACCGUUGUCGGUGCCAUAGGGAAGCUGUGAAGCGAGCCACCUGGGAAGUACGGCCGCAAUGCUGAAACUUAAAGGAAUUGGCGGGGGAGCAC
rnacentral:rRNA from 1 species